AUCUGAAUGGCUCAGUUGGUUUGAGCGUAGUGCUGAUAACGCCAAGGUUGCAGGUUUGAUCCCCGUAAGGGACA